GUUCGAUCAUGGCUCAGAUUGAACGCUGGCGGGAUGCUUCAUGCAAGUCGGGCAGCGGCACGGACUUCGGUCUGGUGGCGAGUGGCGAGCAGGUGAUAUUAUCGGAACGUGCCUAGUAGCGGGGGAUAACUACGCGAAAGCGUAGCUAAUACCGCAUACGCCCUUCGGGGGAAAGCGGGGGACCUUCACGGGCCUCGCACUAUUAGAGCGGCCGAUAUCCGGAUUGGCUAGUUGAGGUAGGUAACGGCUCACCAAGGCGACGAUCCAUAGCUGGUUUGAGAGGACGACCAACCACACUGGGACUGAGACACGGCCAGACUCCUACGGGAGGCAGCAGUGGGGAAUUUUGGACAAUGGGGGAAACCCUGAUCCAGCCAUCACGUGUGCGAUGAAGGCCUUCGGGCUGUAAAGCACUUUUGGCAGGAAAGAAAUGGCCUGGGAUAAUACCCCGUGCAACUGACAAUACCUACAGAAUAAGCACCGGCUAACUACGUGCCAGCAGCCGCGGUAAUACGUGGGGUGCAAGCGUUAAUCGGAAUUACUGGGU
rnacentral:misc_RNA from 1 species